AGAGUUUGAUCCUGGCUCAGAUUGAACGCUGGCGGCAUGCCUUACACAUGCAAGUCGAACGGCAGCACGGGUGCUUGCACCUGGUGGCGAGUGGCGAACGGGUGAGUAAUACAUCGGAACAUGUCCUGUAGUGGGGGAUAGCCCGGCGAAAGCCGGAUUAAUACCGCAUACGAUCCACGAUGAAAGCGGGACUCGGCUCGCGCUAUAGGUUGGCCGAUGGCUGAUACUAGUUGGUGGGGUAAGCCUACCAAGCGACGAUCAGUAGCUGGUCUGAGAGACGACAGCCACACUGGGACUGAGACACGCCAGACUCUUACGGGAGGCAGCAGUGGG
rnacentral:rRNA from 1 species